UGUAAACACUGGGAUUGUGUAGACUGCACCUCCUAUAGUCUGUGUUUAGUGUGGAACCUGGUACCAUUCCAUUCUAUCACACUUCCUGGGGAAGAGAUUAAUUCUGACAUACUGUAUUAAAAAGCUCUUUUGCACACACCUUUUUUUUGUUUUUUUUCUUCAAUCUCUACUGUAUAGUUAGUUGUUACAAAUGCUGGUUCUACCCCAAUUUUGCAGAAUUUAGGGGGGUGUAUGUAACGGAGUUUAAAUAAUUCUGUUAAAUUCAUGCAUUAAUUGGGGGAAACUCGACAUUGGCUGGCUGUUGAGUCACUCGCAUUUGUGUGCGUGAUAUUGUGGGCGGAGUUACGUAAUUACCAGCAGAGUCUCACAUCUCUCACUGCUGAUUUCUGAGCAACGUUGAUGCUUUGAUAGCCUACACUAACCAGCUUUUGGUCGUGUUUGUCCCAGUUUUGUCUGUCCCAGGCCCAGUAAAGCAAGACUUGAGUAACCAUCCACCUGUUCUCCGUGUGAUUUGAUCCACACACACACACAACCAGUCACAU